GUUACCAAUGAGAUGUGGUGAUAACAGUGAUCAAAAUCAAAAGUAAAAAAAAAAUAUAAAUCAGGAGCAGAGCAAACACUGAACCUCUGAAAAAAUGACAGGUAGGAUCUGGAGAAAGGCUCAAAACAUCAAAUCGACCCAGCUCCUACCGUCACAGAUAUUUCCUAUCGAAAACACUGGACUCUUGAACAUAGGGAGCAAUGACAAGAGACAGGGAAAACCGACUCAGGAUAUGCUCUAUCAAUGGGGAACGAGACCAGAAGUUUCUCCAACGGUCGACAAUCUCAUAAAACAUUUGCAGACGAUAGGGAGAUCAGAUGACGUUAUAACAGAAUGCGCCCAUUUGAUAAAAAAAGACGUGGAUCAGUAUAAGACAUUCCAGGCUCAAAGGAUGGGUAAUUCUCUAACUUGACCAGCAGUUGACUAUUCCAAAUUUUCGGAAAUAAUUAAUGCAUUCAGACAUUAUAUUACAACUGGUUUGUCUCAGUAUGCAGUAUGUUUUUGUGAUUAAGUAUCAGCUCUUAGCAUUGACGAAAGUUUGCUAUAUGUACACGGAGACAAAAAUAUGAAGUUGGAGAAGCUGAGGUACAGUCAUAAUAGCCACAAAAUUUAUCACUUUAUCACUGAAGAAUUAAAUAAAACAUUGUAAUUUGCGAGUUUAUAUUAAUAAAUUACAUUAAAAUACUGCACUGUAGUCGAUAUUUUGUUAUAAUACAUGGCCAACUUGUUUCAAGUGAUCAAUGACAAAUCAAUUUUGAUUACUGGACACUUAUUUAUGAUAUUUUUUAAAAGGCAACUUGCAAUGCCAAAUCUGUUUUAACACAGUCACAUGGAUUUAAGAGUUAUGUUCUACAUGUAUUUUAAUAUAAUAUAUGCUUUAAUAAGAAUUGUAGGAUGAUUCUAAUUAAAUUUAGUGCCGUUGUGAUAAUGACCCUGUGUUGUGGCAUUGAUAUCAUGCUGUAAUGACAUAAUAAAAUGAUAAAUA